GCGCCAGUAGCUCAGCUGGAUAGAGCACCGCCCUUCUAAGGCGGGUGUCAGGAGUUCGAGUCUCUUCUGGCGCGCCA
rnacentral:tRNA from 1 species